AACAAACGCUGGCGGCGUGCCUAAUACAUGCAAGUCGAACGGGGAAAGCUUUCGGGUGAGUACUAGUGGCGCACGGGUGAGGAACGCGUGUAUAAUCUGCCUUAGAGUGGGGGAUAACUAGUCGAAAGAUUAGCUAAUACCGCAUAAGACCACGAGAGCUGCGGCUUUUGAGGUCAAAGGUUUUUCGCUCUAAGAUGAGUCCGCGUAAGAUUAGCUAGUUGGUGAGGUAACGGCUCACCAAGGCGACGAUCUUUAACUGGUCUGAGAGGAUGAUCAGUCACACUGGAACUGAGACACGGUCCAGACUCCUACGGGAGGCAGCAGUAGGGAAUAUUGCACAAUGGAGGAAACUCUGAUGCAGCGACGCCGCGUGAGUGAUGAAGGCCUUCGGGUCGUAAAGCUCUGUCGCAGGGGAAUAACACAAUGAAGGUACCCUGUAAGAAAGGAUCGGCUAACUUCGUG
rnacentral:rRNA from 1 species